ACGUAGGGGACAAGCGUUAUCCGGAUUUACUGGGCGUAAAGAGCCCGUAGGCGGUCGGCUAAGUUGGACGUGAAAUCUCCCGGCUCAACCGGGAGGGUGCCUCGAAAACUGGCAGGCUUGAGGCAGGGAGAGGGAUGUGGAAUUCCCGGUGUAGUGGUGAAAUGCGUAGAUAUCGGGAGGAACACCAGUGGCGAAGGCGGCAUCCUGGCCCUGUCCUGACGCUCAGGGGCGAAAGCGUGGGGAGCAAACCG
rnacentral:rRNA from 1 species